GGAGAUGCUCCAUUUGCUAAGAUGGGGUCAAGGUAGAGAACAGCUGCUUGUGAGAGGGAUGGGCAACCUUUUGGGGGCAUCCUGACUGACCACGUGCAACGUCCCUGGAGCUGAAAGGUGGCAAACGAAGAUGCCUGAAACAGUAUCCAGCACGUGGCAGUUGUUUAUUUCAGCAGACGUUUAAUGGGUACUUAACGAUGUGCUGGAUGGUAUGAUGAGAGCUGCAGAUACCCGGUACUGCUGCCCUGCCUGGAAGAUGCCCACAGCUCAUGGACAGACAGACUUUGACAACAGGUAAAAUAAGGCCAGUGUGGAAACUCAAAAGGAUUCUCAAUUCAGAAGAACCAAUGUUGUCUCCGUCACACUUUUUAAAAAAGAAUUAC